UAGCCAUUAGCUCAUGAUUGGAAAUAAUUGUACAUUAAGAGAGACUGGCUUGUCAUAUGAACAUACAUGGAUGACCUGGUUGUUGAGAAGCUGGGCAAGGCUGUCAAUGGAAAACUACUAGAUACAUAAAAAACAUGGCUGUGUAGUAGAUUUCACAAAGAGAUGACAAAGGAAGCUGAUUGUGAAAUCUGAGACACAACAAACCCAAAGUAGCAAAAAGUUCCUAUCUCCAGUCAUUACUUCCCAAAUACCAUUCAAGCUGCACUUUGUAAAACACAAGCAAACACAGAAGAAAUAAAGAGACCUAUUCUUUGCCUAUAUGAGUGUAGUUUGUAAUGUGCAAAACUUAGAGUGAAUUAGCUUCUGUAGAACGUCUGUGUUGUUCUGUAUACUAAAAAAAAUAACAAAAAAAAAAUACAAGUACAAUUGCCUUUGAAAGAAAAAUAAUAAUAAUAAUAAUAAAUGAUAAAAUAAAGCCACAUGAAGUAUUAUGCAUGCAAAUGAUUUUUAAUAUUAAAAAGGACAGACUCACAAACAAGUAACUAGUGUGGGACUGCAUUUUUUGUUGUGAAGUUGCCUGGCUGUGAUGAAGUGAUGCUUGUGAAGAUUUGAGCAAUUUUUCCAGCAAGUCAGGAGGAGAACUGAGCAAGGAAAGGAUAAGGCCAUUAUAGCUUAAGAAAGUGUGUUUUCUUUUGCAGGAAAGGAGUGAAGUGAAACAUUUUACUUACUUUUGUGAGAGAAAAAAAUAGUAAUAAUAACUUAAGAAAUCAUGGAAGGCAUGGAUGAGAUUGCACCAGGCCUUGGUUUACAGGAGUUCUGUAGCCAACAGGGAGACAGUACUAUAUAUUACCACCUUUUAAACCUAUCAGGCAGCGUGUAUGUCUGGGUAGGCACUGAGCAGGGCAACUUGGAGGGCAUGGUGGCAGCUCUAGGGUCCCGCCUGGGACCUUCAGCUGUUACCACUCUCCUCGGCUCUUCCGAUUCCCAGAGUCUCCAAGCUUCCCAUCUUGCAGAGAGGUUACAAAGGCGCACACAAAGGCACAUCCUACUGAGCCUCAACCUGCCCAGUGACGAAUUAAUACCUCAUGUGGAGCAGCGCCUGCUGGAGGAGCUCUGUGUCGUAUAAAGGCCAAGGCUCAUGAAAUUAUUUCGCUGUUUGACUGCCCAAAAGAUCCCCAAACCCACCCAUCCACCCCCCAAAUUCUCAGUAUAUAUAUUUUUUUUUUGUCAUAUGCUAUAUGGCCUUAUAUUUGUUGUUUGAUUUUUGUAUUUUUUUAUUAUUAUUAUUUCAACUACAAUUAUGCAUUAAGUAAUAAAUAAAUGUCUGUCUGAUCUAAAUACAAGAACAUAAUUUUACUUGUAAAUAUUGUACUUAUAUAUUUUUUGUCUUUUGACUACAGUUGCAGUAUAUUUAUGUUGUAGGAUAAGGACAAUCUACUUAAUCACAUUGAGCAAGUAUGUUGCCUUAAUGGGAAGAUAGGGUACCCCUUUUCCAGCCUAUUAUUAGUCUUCCAGAAUUAGAAGAUAAAAAAAGAUGUAGAGUCUUGGCCUAUAUACUCACAAAGCUUGAUAAUAGUAUAUUGUGUUCAAUGUUGAAAAUUAAGGAAAAAAGGUAUAUCAAUGUUGGAAACACAAUGGUCUUUAGAACAGAAGGCUUAUGCAGUCAUUUAUGCAAAAAUAAAUACAGAAAUAUCGAGCCAAUGCUAAGAAGCUGCUUGUACUACCAAUGGAUUGACCUUGUAUGCACUGGCUAGCCUCCCCUGAUUAUGUCAACUAUAUAUUCUGUUCAGCAGUAAUUAUGUGAUAAGACUGCUCUCUCUUCAGUGAGAAAGUUCUGCAGCAUUGCCUUCACUGCAUAUAGCUUUCCAAGAUCUUCUGCUUGUCUGAAGAAACUGGUGAUUGCACAGCUAUUUAAGUCCACAAAUUUAAGUGGUGCAUACAAGUGAUAAUUGAAGGUAUGAUAUUAAUGUACUAUAUCAGGGUAGAUGUUAAGUUCCUCUUUAUUUUUACAGAAGCUUUUUUGUAAUCUCCUUUAUAGAGUUUUUUUUUAAUAUAAAUUUCUGUAUAUUUGUCCUAUGCAAUAGGUGGUAAUAACUAGCAGUCUUUUUGCUUCCCAAUUUGUAGUUACUACCUCACAGGUGAUAGAUUAAUGAAAAGACAUUCCCUGUAGCCCGUGACUCGUUAGGCAGCUCAGGAAACACAGGGGAAGCUGCUGGAGAGGCCAAGCACUACAAACCCUGCAUUUAAGGAUAAACACCUGUAUAAUGAUAACACACUUUGAUAUGCAUUUUGUUGUGAUUUAAUGAAGCAAGUGAAGUAGUUCUUGCAACAUAGAAUAACCAUGAAAGUGGGAUUUUGUUGUAGAUAUGCUUGUGCCUCCUCUGCAGCUUCCUCCAUCCUUAAUUUCCCACAGUAUCAGAAAUCCCCCGCCAUAUGUGAACCCCCUGUGCCACCUCGCAGCUUUUGACAACAGUGCUGGUGUGGUUGUGAAUUGGUGAUCACAAUAGAUGUUUAGGUAUGCAUAAUGUAAAUCUCUAGUAUUUUUCACUUAAUUUACCUCUGAUUUUUAUUUGAUUUUGGCAUAUAUUUUUCCUAUUGGAAGACACAGUUACAUGACUGAUGUAUACUUAAGUUGAUUUUAAAACAGACUUGAACUUUUGUUGUGAUCAAUAUCUGUGCCAUGAUUAGGUCCUUUCCUGGACCUUGAAGUGUGAUAACUGAAUGUUGAUGUGCCUGGAAACCAGUCAUAGCAUUGAACAUAUUGUUUAUUGACAUGAUCAGUAUUAUCAUAAUUCGUGAUAUUGAGUACUCCCCUUUGAGGAAUCUCAUAUGAUCAUGCUAUGGUUGGUCUCCUCCCCCAGCACUGGCUGUCACUUGGUGAUGUCUUGGUGUGUAUUGUGGUUUUUCAAGUCAACUUUUGCUCCAGCUUUUGGUUUCCCGUCUCAUUUACUUUGAUUUAUUUGUUCAAAAUUUUACUCAACUUGUGUUCUUAGAGUACUUUUACAUACACCCAAGACUCACUUCCAUGCUUAAUGAUGUAGUCCUGAUGAAGCCUCAGGGUAGAGGGUUCGCUCCCCGGUAAUGUGGGUCCUAUGUUGAGGCCUCCUUUGGCCCUCGCACAAGUGAUAGAUUAAUUAGUUUAGUUUUAUCUCACACUGAGCAAUUCAUAUUAAUUUAAUUACAGAGAGGAUAGAUAGUCACCCAAAGUACUGUACUUUGUUCUCAAAGUGGCCACACCCAUCUACAUCAAAAGGAUGUAGUAGAGGUUGUGACAUUUUUCCAAGACAAUCAUUUCUUUUUUAUCAAUUAUUUCUGUGUUAUAUUUCAAUCAAUAAAGAUUUUAGUUUUAAAUAAGUUAUAGGGAAAUCUUGUGUGUUCCAAUUUCUAGUUGAUGUGCGAGGAGUUCUAGGGAGGUCCAAGCAGCAAGUUGCUGCUGUGAAGUCGUGAUAGUGUCAAAUGCUAGUCUGACGGUGGGGAGCAAAGCCUCCGUCCCAAACCCACCCUUCUACCUCCUGACCCAUAUUUUAUCCCAUCAGUCACCCUUGCCUACCAUGAGCAUUCUGCAGAAGUUUUAAACACUACUGAUUUUAAAAUAAGUUUUGUGAUGUUAGCAGGUGUAAGUGGUGUGGCAUUGGGCUAUCUGAUUCUGUGUGUGAGAUUAGUUCCUAUGUUCUACACAUGGAAGCAGAAUCCAAACCAUUCCUACCAGAGCCCAGUUCAAAGAUGGACUGGAGCAGCCAUGUCGCAACCCAAGUUCCUCGCCUAAACAGGUUCCUCUCCCCUUUAGCAAAUCCUGCCCCUUUAGCUCCAACUGUAUUUUAUUUUGCCAAUCCUGUCCCAGACUCUUGUAUGAUUAGUAAAUGCCAGAUUCCAGUCGCAGACUGAAGAUUUUAUGCAAUUACUGCUAGUUCUUGAUUUUAUAACAUUUAUUUGCAAAAGAUAAUUAAAUCACAGAAUUAUUUUAUAGCAGUAGUUACAUCAGUAUUCUCAGUCUGAAUUGUUUAAAGGAAGUUAGAUAAUGCCAGUAAGAAUGCAUGAGAGGGAUAUUAUUUUCAUAAUGGUUUUGACACAGUACCCUGAAGGUAUUACAUAACCAGGUAUUAAACAUUCCUUUGCUUACAGGAAACAGGUGAAGUGCAAAAAAGUUUAUGCUAUCCAUGAAACAAUAGGGAGAAAUAGCUCCCACUGCUAUGCACAAGUUAACAUUGCACAUUGGAGCAUUUGGCACAAACUGUCGAGGUUGGAGAGUUGCCUCCUGUGAUAGGCAUUUGUUUUUACAACUAAUGUACUCGCAUGUGCGUGCCACGGAAUCACCCACCUGGUGAGGUAGAGCCUUGGCUGAAGAUGUGGGUGGCUGGAUGAUGACCAUAUAGGUGCAUUGUAGAUAUGAUUGGUCAGGGCAAGAUUAUACAUUUUUUUGCUCCAGCAAAUGGGAAAAUUGUUUCACCAGUUAAAUAAGGAUGGAUAUCUCGCCCCAACCUAAUAGUACAGGCACCUGGCACUCUAGCUGCACGCACCAGUAGGGCCCAGCAUGUGUGCCUGAGGGCCCGCCCAUUAUGCAAACAUAUUUUGAAUUAAGUGAAGCAAUAUUAUGUUUUGUCUAUUGCUGUUAUUGGAGAAAAUGGUUAUCUUGUGAAUUUUGAACAAAAAAGAAUAGUAAUCAUUUUGUACAUGGUAAGAGAUGAAAAUCUAGAAGCUGAAAUUAUUCACUAGGAAAUUCUGUGCUAUUUUUAGAGAGUCUCUAGUUUGUGUACUUUGUUAUAUAUCUGGAUGAUGUAGUCUUGUACGAGAUAUAUGAAGUGGUAGGGAGUAACUUCAAAGUGUCGUGAUUAUAUUUAGAGUAGGAGGAAGAUGGUAGGGACUAGACAGUAUAGUCAGUGCUGAGCUGAUAUAUAUGCAACAUGUAGUUUGAAAUACUCAAAAAUAAAGAUCAGAUCAGACAA
rnacentral:misc_RNA from 1 species